rnacentral:tRNA from 1 species
GAAUUGGUGGUUCAAUGGUAGAAUUCUUGCCUUCUACACAAGAUGCCUGGGUUCAGUUCCGGGCCAACACA